CCUCUUCAUUUCUAUAUCAAUUUUCAUGGAGUAAAUCAAGGCAUGAUGGCUGCUCCUCCUCCUUGAAGUUUCAUCCAUGGUGGGAACUCAAGCUGAUGAUGUUUUCUUCAUGUUUUCUCUUAAGAUCUCUUGUUCAAUCACCACAGGCUCUAAGAAAAUGUGAUUUCUAGCUGCCUUGAGGCGUAAAAGUUCUUUUGGAAGCUUGUUCUUGGUUCAAUUCUUGGCAGCUGCAAAGGAGAUGGACACGGGAGUCCUGCCCUACGAGAUUAAUCAUCCAUACAUCCACGACGACCCAGUGCGCAGCUACGAGUAUUACAUCCGAUGUGCGGCUCCUUGUGUAUGUAAUUAUAUAGUACGUGACCCUGAGAUCGAGGAUAUCUCUUCUGGUA